ACGCUGGCGGCGUGCUUAACACAUGCAAGUCGAACGAUGAAGCCUAGCUUGCUAGGUGGAUUAGUGGCGAACGGGUGAGUAAUACGUGAGUAACCUACCUUUAACUCUGGGAUAAGCCUGGGAAACUGGGUCUAAUACCGGAUACGACCAAUCUCCGCAUGGGGUGUUGGUGGAAAGCGUUAUGUAGUGGUUAUAGAUGGGCUCACGGCCUAUCAGCUUGUUGGUGAGGUAACGGCUCACCAAGGCGACGACGGGUAGCCGGCCUGAGAGGGUGACCGGCCACACUGGGACUGAGACACGGCCCAGACUCCUACGGGAAGCAGCAGUGGGGAAUAUUGCACAAUGGGCGCAAGCCUGAUGCAGCGACGCCGCGUGAGGGAUGACGGCCUUCGGGUUGUAAACCUCUGUUAGCAGGGAAGAAGAGAGAUUGACGGUACCUGCAGAGAAAGCGCCGGCUAACUACGUGCCAGCAGCCGCGGUAAUACGUAGGGCGCGAGCGUUGUCCGGAAUUAUUGGGCGUAAAGAGCUUGUAGGCGGUUUGUCGCGUCUGCUGUGAAAGGCCGGAGCUUAACUCCGUGUAUUGCAGUGGGUACGGGCAGACUAGAGUGCAGUAGGGGAGACUGGAAUUCCUGGUGUAGCGGUGGAAUGCGCAGAUAUCAGGAGGAACACCGAUGGCGAAGGCAGGUCUCUGGGCUGUAACUGACGCUGAGAAGCGAAAGCAUGGGGAGCGAACAGGAUUAGAUACCCUGGUAGUCCAUGCCGUAAACGUUGGGCACUAGGUGUGGGGGACAUUCCACGUUUUCCGCGCCGUAGCUAACGCAUUAAGUGCCCCGCCUGGGGAGUACGGCCGCAAGGCUAAAACUCAAAGAAAUUGACGGGGGCCCGCACAAGCGGCGGAGCAUGCGGAUUA
rnacentral:rRNA from 1 species